rnacentral:rRNA from 1 species
UUUGGUCAUUAGAGGAAGUAAAAGUCGUAACAAGGUCUCCGUUGGUGAACCAGCGGAGGGAUCAUUACAGAGUUAUCCAACUCCCAAACCCAUGUGAACAUAUCUCUUUGUUGCCUCGGCGCAAGCUACCCGGGACCUCGCGCCCCGGGCGGCCCGCCGGCGGCUCGCGCCCCGGGCGGCCCGCCGGCGGUGUUAUCUCGUUGAUUAUCUGAGUGUCUUAUUUAAUAAGUCAAAACUUUCAACAACGGAUCUCUUGGUUCUGGCAUCGAUGAAGAACGCAGCGAAAUGCGAUAAGUAAUGUGAAUUGCAGAAUUCAGUGAAUCAUCGAAUCUUUGAACGCACAUUGCGCCCAUUAGUAUUCUAGUGGGCAUGCCUGUUCGAGCGUCAUUUCAACCCCUAAGCACAGCUUAUUGUUGGGCGUCUACGUCUGUAGUGCCUCAAAGACAUUGGCGGAGCGGCAGCAGUCCUCUGAGCGUAGUAAUUCUUUAUCUCGCUUCUGUUAGGCGCUGCCCCCCCGGCCGUAAAACCCCCAAUUUUUUCUGGUUGACCUCGGAUCAGGUAGGAAUACCCGCUGAACUUAAGCAUAUCAAUAAGCGGAGGA